rnacentral:rRNA from 1 species
UACAGAGGUCUCAAGCGUUGUUCGGAUUCAUUGGGCGUAAAGGGUGCGUAGGUGGCGGGGCAAGUUUGGUGUGAAAUCCCGGGGCUCAACCCCGGAACUGCACUGAAUACUGCCUUGCUUGAGCACUGGAGAGGGAACUGGAAUUUACGGUGUAGCAGUGAAAUGCGUAGAUAUCGUAAGGAAGACCAGUGGCGAAGGCGAGUUCCUGGACAGUUGCUGACACUGAGGCACGAAGGCUAGGGGAGCGAACGGG